CCUACUGGAUGCAGCAGUGGGGAAUAUUGCACAAUGGGGGAAACCCUGAUGCAGCGACGCCGCGUGAGUGAAGAAGUAUUUCGGUAUGUAAAGCUCUAUCAGCAGGGAAGAAAAUGAUGGUACCUGAUUAAGAAGCCCCUGCUAAAUACGUGCCAGCAGCCGCGGUAAUACGUAGUGGGCAAGCGUUAUCCGGAUUUACGGGGUGUAAAGUGAGCGUAGACGGCAGCACAAGUCUGGAGUGAAAUGCCGGGGAUUAACCCCGGAACUGCUUUGGAGACUGUGCAGCGAGAGUGCAGGAGAGGUAAGUGGAAUGCCAAGUGUAGCGGUGAAAUGCGUAGAUAUUAGGAGGAACACCAGGGGCGAAGGCGGCUUACUGGACUGUAACUGACGUUGAGGCUCGAAAGCGUGGGGAGCAAACAGGAUUAGAUACCCGUGUAGUC
rnacentral:rRNA from 1 species